rnacentral:rRNA from 1 species
UGGGGGAUAACGCAUCGAAAGAUGUGCUAAUACCGCAUAUCUCUCAGGAGGAAAGCAGGGGAUCGAAAGACCUUGCGCUAAAGGAGCGGCUGAUGUCUGAUUAGCUAGUUGGUGGGGUAAAGGCUUACCAAGGCAACGAUCAGUAGCUGGUCUGAGAGGACGACCAGCCACACUGGGACUGAGACACGGCCCAGACUCCUACGGGAGGCAGCAGUGGGGAAUUUUGGACAAUGGGCGAAAGCCUGAUCCAGCCAUNCCGCGUGAAUGAAGAAGGCCUUCGGGUUGUAAAGUUCUUUUAGUUGGAAAGAAAAAAUUAUGAUGAAUAAUCAUAAUUCAUGACGGUACCGACAGAAAAAGCACCGGCU